rnacentral:rRNA from 1 species
UACGAAGGGGGCUAGCGUUGCUCGGAAUCACUGGGCGUAAAGCGCACGUAGGCGGCUUUCUAAGUCAGGGGUGAAAUCCUGGAGCUCAACUCCAGAACUGCCUUUGAUACUGGAGAGCUAGAGUCCGGAAGAGGUGAGUGGAACUGCGAGUGUAGAGGUGAAAUUCGUAGAUAUUCGCAAGAACACCAGUGGCGAAGGCGGCUCACUGGUCCGGUACUGACGCUGAGACGCGAAAGCGUGGGGAGCAAACAGG